CGGAAUUACUGGGCUUAAAGAGUUCGUAGGUGGUUGAAAAAGUUAGUGGUGAAAUCCCAGAGCUUAACUCUGGAACUGCCAUUAAAACUUUUCAGCUAGAGUAUGAUAGAGGAAAGCAGAAUUUCUAGUGUAGAGGUGAAAUUCGUAGAUAUUAGAAAGAAUACCAAUUGCGAAGGCAGCUUUCUGGAUCAUUACUGACACUGAGGAACGAAAGCAUGGGUAGCGAAGAGGAUUAGAUACCCUCGUAGUCCAUGCCGUAAACGAUGUGUGUUAGACGUUGGAAAUUUAUUUUCAGUGUCGCAGCGAAAGCGAUAAACACACCGCCUGGGGAGUACGACCGCAAGGUUAAAACUCAAAUGAAUUGACGGGGACCCGCACAAGUAGUGGAGCAUGUGGUUUAAUUCGAAGAUACGCGCAGAACCUUACCAACACUUGACAUGUUCGUCGCGACUUUAAGAGAUUAAAGUUUUCGGUUCGGCCGGACGAAACACAGGUGCUGCAUGGCUGUCGUCAGCUCGUGUCGUGAGAUGUUGGGUUAAGUCCCGCAACGAGCGCAACCCUCACUUUUAGUUGCCAUCAUUUAGUUGGGCACUCUGAAAGAACUGCCAGUGAUAAGCUGGAGGAAGGUGGGGAUGACGUCAAGUCCUCAUGGCCCUUACGUGUUGGGCUACACACGUGCUACAAUGGUAUCUACAACAGGAAGCAAAACCGCGAGGUUAAGCAAAUCCUUAAAAGAUACCUCAGUUCGGAUUGCACUCUGCAACUCGAGUGCAUGAAGCUGGAAUUACUAGUAAUCGUGGAUCAGCGUGCCACGGUGAAUGCGUUCCCGGGUCUUGUACACACCGCCCGUCACACCAUGGGAGUUGGUUCUACCUUAA
rnacentral:rRNA from 1 species